UACGUAGGGUGCGAGCGUUGUCCGGAAUUAUUGGGCGUAAAGAGCUCGUAGGUGGCCUGUCGCGUCGGCUGUGAAAACUCGGGGCUCAACUCCGAGCUUGCAGUCGAUACGGGCAGGCUAGAGUUCGGCAGGGGAGACUGGAAUUCCUGGUGUAGCGGUGAAAUGCGCAGAUAUCAGGAGGAACACCGGUGGCGAAGGCGGGCUCUGGGCCGAAAUUGACGCUGAGGAGCGAAGCGUGGGGAGCAAACAGG
rnacentral:rRNA from 1 species